UACGGAGGGUGCAAGCGUUAUCCGGAUUCACUGGGUUUAAAGGGUGCGUAGGUGGGCUGGUAAGUCAGUGGUGAAAUCUCCAGGCUUAACUUGGAAACUGCCAUCGAUACUAUCAGUCUUGAAUACCGUGGAGGUCAGCGGAAUAUGUCAUGUAGCGGUGAAAUGCUUAGAUAUGACAUAGAACACCAAUUGCGAAGGCAGCUGGCUACACGAAUAUUGACACUGAUGCACGAAAGCGUGGGGAGCAAACAGG
rnacentral:rRNA from 1 species